CUUGUACUCCCUCCGUCCAAAAAUACUUGUCAUUGAAAUGGAUGUAUCUAGAUGUAUUUUAGUUCUAGACACAUCCAUUUUGAUGAGAAGUAAUUCCAGACAGAAGGAGUACUUG
rfam:Triticum urartu cultivar G1812 contig194235, whole genome shotgun sequence.